rnacentral:rRNA from 1 species
UACAUGGGGUGCAAACGUUGCUCGGAAUUAUUGGGCGUAAAGCGCACGUAGGCGGUUCGUUAAGUCGGAUGUGAAAGCCCUCGGCUCAACUGAGGAAGUGCACCCGAAACUGGCGAGCUUGAGUACGAAAAGAGGAUCGCGGAAUUCCCGGUGUAGAGGUGAAAUUCGUAGAUAUCGGGAGGAACACCAGUGGCGAAGGCGGCGACCUGGACGGACACUGA